CAUACCGUAUUAAGGUGAAACCGCGAAUGGCUCAUUAAAUCAGUUAUGAUUCAUUGGAUGUUGAACUAAUUACAUGGAUAACUGUGGUAAUUCUAGAGCUAAUACAUGCACAAAAGCUCCAUUUCGGUGGAGUGCAUUUAUUAGACCAAGACCAAAGGUGUGCAAACACCUUACGGU
rnacentral:rRNA from 1 species